CUUUGAAGUUUGAUCUUGAUUCUUGACUAUCAGUACUCCUAUACUAAGUAUUAUCAUCAACAGGAUACGACUACAUCGAAGAACUUUCUAGUUGAUGGCUGUGGACCGGACUCGAUUCCUUGAAGCGACGUUGUCGUUUGUUUGCAGAUCGGAACCGAUCAGGAACGAUGGGUUAGCGGUGAUGAUUAGAGUUAUAGAGAUGUCAUAUUGAGCUGAGUACCUGAGGAGUGUAGUAUUGUAUUAGGUUUUUGAUAAAUGUAUAGACUUGGUUGUGCUGGUUAUAUUGGACUUAUAGAGUGACUUUUAUGAUUACUUUGUAUUUUAGUUAGAUGUUUGGUUUGAGAAU